ACUCCUACGGGAGGCAGCAGUGGGGAAUAUUGCGCAAUGGGCGAAAGCCUGACGCAGCGACGCCGCGUGUGGGAGGAAGCCUUUCGGGGUGUAAACCACUGUCAGAGGGGAAGAACUGCGCCGGUCCGAAUACGGUCGGCGUUUGACGGUACCCUCAGAGGAAGCGCCGGCUAACUCCGUGCCAGCAGCCGCGGUAAU
rnacentral:rRNA from 1 species